rnacentral:rRNA from 1 species
GUGAGGAAUUUUCCGCAAUGGGCGAAAGCCUGACGGAGCAAUGCCGCGUGAAGGAUGAAGGCCUAUGGGUUGUAAACUUCUUUUCUCAGAAAAGAAUUAUGACGGUAUCUGAGGAAUAAGCAUCGGCUAACUCUGUGCCAGCAGCCGCGGUAAGACAGAGGAUGCAAGCGUUAUCCGGAAUGAUUGGGCGUAAAGCGUCUGUAGGUUGUUUAAAAAGUAUUCUGUCAAAGAUUAGGGCUUAAACCUAGAUAGGCAGAAUAAACUUUUAAGCUAGAGUUUGGUAGAGGCAGGGGGAAUUCCCGGUGGAGCGGUGAAAUGCGUAGAUAUCGGGAGGAACACCAAAGGCGAAGGCACUCUGCUGGGCCAAUACGAACACUGAGAGACGAAAGCGAGGGGAGCAAAUGGGAUUAGAAACCCUUGUAGUCC